GCGGCGUGCUUAACACAUGCAAGUCGAACGAAGAGCGAUGGAAGCUUGCUUCUAUCAAUCUUAGUGGCGAACGGGUGAGUAACGCGUAAUCAACCUGCCCUUCAGAGGGGGACAACAGUUGGAAACGACUGCUAAUACCGCAUACGAUCUAAUCUCGGCAUCGAGGACAGAUGAAAGGUGGCCUCUACAUGUAAGCUAUCACUGAAGGAGGGGAUUGCGUCUGAUUAGCUAGUUGGAGGGGUAACGGCCCACCAAGGCGAUGAUCAGUAGCCGGUCUGAGAGGAUGAACGGCCACAUUGGGACUGAGACACGGCCCAGACUCCUACGGGAGGCAGCAGUGGGGAAUCUUCCGCAAUGGACGAAAGUCUGACGGAGCAACGCCGCGUGAGUGAUGACGGCCUUCGGGUUGUAAAGCUCUGUUAAUCGGGACGAAAGGCCUUCUUGCGAAUACUGAGAAG
rnacentral:rRNA from 1 species